UACGUAGGGUGCGAGCGUUAAUCGGAAUUACUGGGCGUAAAGCGUGCGCAGGCGGUUUUGUAAGCCAGAUGUGAAAGCCCCGGGCUCAACCUGGGAAUGGCAUUUGGGACUGCAAGGCUUGAGUGCGGCAGAGGAGACUGGAAUUCCUGGUGUAGCAGUGAAAUGCGUAGAUAUUGGGAGGAACACCAGUGGCGAAGGCGGCUCACUGGACCGGUUCUGACGCUGAGGCGCGAAAGCGUGGGGAGCAAACGGG
rnacentral:rRNA from 1 species